AAGGUUCUCUCAGUACGGUCGGAAAUCGUACGUAGAGUGUAAAGGCAAAAGAGAGCUUGAUUGCAAGACAUACAGGUCGAGCAAGGAUGAAAAUCGGACUUAGUGAUCCGGUGGUUCUGCGUGGAAGUGCCAUCGCUCAACGGAUAAAAGCUACCCUGGGGAUAACAGGCUUAUCUCCCCCAAGAGUCCACAUCGACGGGGAGGUU
rnacentral:rRNA from 1 species